rnacentral:rRNA from 1 species
GAUGAACGCUGGCGGCGUGCCUAAUACAUGCCAGUCGAGCGAACGGACGAGAAGCUUGCUUUUCUGAUGUUAGCGGCGGACGGGUGAGUAACACGUGGAUAACCUACCUAUAAGACUGGGAUAACUUCGGGAAACCGGAGCUAAUACCGGAUAAUAUUUUGAACCGCAUGGUUCAAAAGUGAAAGGCGGUCCUGCUGUCACUUAUAGAUGGAUCCGCGCUGCAUUAGCUAGUUGGUAAGGUAACGGCUUACCAGGGCAACGAUGCAUAGCCGACCUGAGAGGGUGAUCGGCCACACUGGAACUGAGACACGGUCCAGACUCCUACGGGAGGCAGCAGUAGGGAAUCUUCCGCAAUGGGCGAAAGCCUGACGGAGCAACGCCGCGUGAGUGAUGAAGGUCUUCGGAUCGUAAAACUCUGUUAUUAGGGAAGAACAUAUGUGUAAGUAACUGUGCACAUCUCGACGGUACCUAAUCAGAAAGCCACGGCUAACUACGUG